GGUGAGGUAAUGGCUCACCAAGGCGACGACGGGUAGCCGGCCUGAGAGGGUGACCGGCCACACUGGGACUGAGACACGGCCCAGACUCCUACGGGAGGCAGCAGUGGGGAAUAUUGCACAAUGGGCGAAAGCCUGAUGCAGCGACGCCGCGUGAGGGAUGACGGCCUUCGGGUUGUAAACCUCUUUCAGUAGGGAAGAAGCGAAAGUGACGGUACCUGCAGAAGAAGCGCCGGCUAACUACGUGCCAGCAGCCGCGGUAAUACGUAGGGCGCAAGCGUUAUCCGGAAUUAUUGGGCGUAAAGAGCUCGUAGGCGGUUUGUCGCGUCUGCCGUGAAAGUCCGGGGCUCAACUCCGGAUCUGCGGUGGGUACGGGCAGACUAGAGUGAUGUAGGGGAGACUGGAAUUCCUGGUGUAGCGGUGAAAUGCGCAGAUAUCAGGAGGAACACCGAUGGCGAAGGCAGGUCUCUGGGCAUUAACUGACGCUGAGGAGCGAAAGCAUGGGGAGCGAACAGGAUUAGAUACCCUGGUAGUCCAUGCCGUAAACGUUGGGCACUAGGUGUGGGGGACAUUCCACGUUUUCCGCGCCGUAGCUAACGCGA
rnacentral:rRNA from 1 species